rnacentral:rRNA from 1 species
UUGAACGCUGGCGGCAUGCUUUACACAUGCAAGUCGAACGGCAGCGGGGGCUUCGGCCUGCCGGCGAGUGGCGAACGGGUGAGUAAUGCAUCGGAACGUACCCAGUCGUGGGGGAUAACUACGCGAAAGCGUAGCUAAUACCGCAUACGCCCUGAGGGGGAAAGCGGGGGAUCGCAAGACCUCGCGCGAUAGGAGCGGCCGAUAUCGGAUUAGCUUGUUGGUGAGGUAAAGGCUCACCAAGGCGACGAUCCGUAGCUGGUCUGAGAGGACGACCAGCCACACUGGAACUGAGACACGGUCCAGACUCCUACGGGAGGCAGCAGUGGGGAAUUUUGGACAAUGGGGGCAACCCUGAUCCAGCCAUUCCGCGUGAGUGAAGAAGGCCUUCGGGUUGUAAAGCUCUUUCAGCAGGAACGAAACGGUGGCUACUAAUACUAGCUACUAAUGACGGUACCUGAAGAAGAAGCACCGGCUAACUACGU